rnacentral:rRNA from 1 species
GAGUUUGAUCAUGGCUCAGAUUGAACGCUGGCGGCAUGCCUUACACAUGCAAGUCGAACGGCAGCACGGGAGCUUGCUCCUGGUGGCGAGUGGCGAACGGGUGAGUAAUGCAUCGGAACGUAUCCUGGAGUGGGGGAUAACGUAGCGAAAGUUACGCUAAUACCGCAUAUUCUGUGAGCAGGAAAGCGGGGGACCUUCGGGCCUCGCGCUCUUGGAGCGGCCGAUGUCGGAUUAGCUAGUUGGUGAGGUAAAGGCUCACCAAGGCGACGAUCCGUAGCAGGUCUGAGAGGAUGAUCUGCCACACUGGAACUGAGACACGGUCCAGACUCCUACGGGAGGCAGCAGUGGGGAAUUUUGGACAAUGGGGCAACCCUGAUCCAGCCAUGCCGCGUGAGUGAAGAAGGCCUCGGUUGUAAG